rnacentral:lncRNA from 1 species
AUGUUUGUGACCUGGGGUGCUUCUCUCUCUCCCUGGCAUUUCCGUUUCCGUUCUGAUUCCUUCCUCAGGGCCAGUGAGGAUCGGGUGGAACUGGGGAGGCUAGCUGCUGUCAUUUUGCAGUGUCACAGUGUGCGGUGUGUGUGGAUACAACUUCCCAUUGGUGUGUGUGAUGGUUGCUUUGGUGUGAAUUUAGGUGGGUUUUUGGAUAACCAUUCUGAGUUGCAGCCGGCCUGCCUGGUUCCCACUAAUCCUGGCCCUGGGAAUUACCUCCCUUAUUGUGGAAAUGGUUUGUGUGAGAGAGUUUUAAAUCUAUGCGUGUGUUUUAUAAUAAAAUCCAAUCUUUUGUAUUCUCGCCCCCGUCUCCCCUACUUUGCCUUCAUUUGGUGAAACUUACCUGUGUCCUUUAAUGGGAAUAAAUUCUCUGGUUUCCCACCAGGGUGGCGUAGUCGGAUAAAUUCACUGAUUAACCUUUCCUUUCAUGUGAUACCGCCACAUUUUGGCGUAGUCGGCAGGGUGAGUUGGAACAGUUACUUC